rnacentral:rRNA from 1 species
CAGUAGCCGCGGGAAUACGUAGGGUGCAAGCGUUAAUCGGAAUUACUGGGCGUAAAGCGUGCGCAGGCGGUUAUAUAAGACAGAUGUGAAAUCCCCGGGCUCAACCUGGGAACUGCAUUUGUGACUGUAUAGCUAGAGUACGGCAGAGGGGGAUGGAAUUCCGCGUGUAGCAGUGAAAUGCGUAGAUAUGCGGAGGAACACCGAUGGCGAAGGCAAUCCCCUGGGCCUGUACUGACGCUUAUGCACGAAAGCGUGGGGAGCAAACAGGAUUAGAUACCCUGUAGUCCCUGUCUCUUAUACA